UUGACGACUAAAGCUGAGCCGGCGCCGCCACGACCUUGGGCGGGUGGUCGGCCUCUGCCCUGAGCAGGAAGUAGAAAGUCUCAGCAGACCCUUCCUGAGGGCCGAGCAACAGUGUAGUGGCGUAUUCCACAUAGCAAACAGGCAGCAUUUCUUCCUGUGACAAUAUGGUGUAAGACAAAAUUGUGGCCUGCCAUGAAGUUGUGAGAGAAAAGCAUCCCUCAUUUCUUCAGGAAAGGCCACUGCCGUUCCCUCCGGCUCCUCUUCUCAGGAGUUUGUGCAUUCAUGAGGUGAAUUCCUUGGAAGAUGAGGGCCAAGUCUUAUUCUUCUCAGUCUCUUCUGCAUCUAGCAGAAGAAUAAUGGUUGCACAGAAAAUCUUGGUUCAGUGGUUGAGUGAAUGAAUGGAUGAACAGGCUCUUGCACACAAAGAAGAGACAUGAUGUAUUUGCAUCCUUCCCUGCUUCAGCCAGUUUUCUGAAGCUCAGAGGGACACCUUGUAUUGCUGGAUGAUAAAAACAGGAGCAAAGUGAUGAAGUGCUGACAAGGCAACAAUAGAACAUGAGAGAUUCACUGCUGUGUAGGAAGAGAUCUUCGGUGACCAUGUAGCCUGAAGCUCUCAUUUUGUCAUCGAGGGACACCAAAACUCAGAACAGAUAGAGUCUUGCUCUGUGACCCAGGCUUGUGUGCAGCGGUACGAUAUUGGCUCACUGCGACCUCCACCUCCCAGGUUCAAGCAAUUCUCCUGCCUCAG
rnacentral:lncRNA from 1 species